GGCUUCUUGGAGGAUUAUCUCUUCUAUUGAGCAGAAGGAAGAGAGCAGAGGAAAUGAGGAUCAUGUUGCAACCAUUAAGGAGUAUAGGAGCAAGAUUGAAGCUGAGCUCAGCAAGAUAUGUGAUGGGAUUUUGAGCCUCCUUGAGUCUCACCUCAUUCCUUCAGCUUCAUCUGCCGAGUCCAAGGUGUUUUACCUUAAAAUGAAGGGUGAUUAUCAUAGGUAUCUUGCUGAGUUCAAGACUGGUGCUGAGAGGAAGGAAGCUGCUGAGAGCACUUUGUUGGCUUACAAGUCUGCACAGGUGGGUGAAAUUGGUAAUGCAAUCUUGUCAAUGAGUUAGUUUCUCUAUAAUUUCUUAAGCAUCUUCAGAUAGAAGUUCUUAGUUAUUUUAUUUCUUUAUUUAUUUUUUUUGUGAUGGCAGGAUAUUGCUCUCGGUGACCUAGCGCCAACUCACCCAAUUAGGCUGGGACUUGCUCUUAACUUCUCUGUUUUCUACUAUGAAAUUCUUAACUCACCUGAUCGUGCUUGCAAUCUUGCAAAACAGGUGUUUAUCCUCUUCUAAUAUAUAUUGUUUCUUGUCUAAUUGUCUUUAUCGAGAUAGAACAGAUACUGAAGUAAAUUAUGUAGUUUUAGUUGUCCUUUUUUUUAAAAAACUUAUCUUGGUAUGGUCCAUCUAUUUAGGAUGUUAUAAUAAAUUAUUAUAAUGUAAUUAUGCCUCAACUUGAUCUGCUUUUGUGGUAACUCUGGUUAUAUUUGCAAGAGUUGCUGGCUGAUAACUGAACCUUUAACUCCUGAAAAUAUUUUGCUAAUUUGGUUGAUACUUGUACUUGUAUGAACACUGAGCUUAGAAGAAGUUUGAAGGAAUGGCUAUAGAGUUUCUGCUCAUGAAAUAUGUUGCUUUGUAGAAUGGAGUGAGUCUACAUAAUUAACAUGUUAGUGAUCAUUUAUGUGAGGUCCUGUGAUCUUGUAAAUUGUUAUCCGUUUUAAUGAGAUUUAUUAAUUUUACCCUAUAUAUACUAGGCAUUGAUUUAGAUUAUUCUUAUAUGAAGAGAUUCAGAAAUUCUUCUUUGAGGACAUGAAUUGAAUAUCUAAGGAUUGUUUCUCUUCUAUCAUUAAAUGACAUGUUAUUCAUUUGGCAGGCUUUUGAUGAGGCUAUUUCUGAGUUGGAUACAUUGGGUGAGGAAUCCUACAAGGAUAGUACAUUGAUCAUGCAACUUCUUCGGGACAACCUAACCCUUUGGACAUCU
rnacentral:lncRNA from 1 species